GCCGGAAUGGCGGAAUUGGUAGACGCACUUGGUCGGAAACCUUGUUCUGAUUUAUCAGAGUAGGAGUUCGAAUCUCCUUUCCGGCA
rnacentral:tRNA from 1 species